UACGGAGGGUGCAAGCGUUAAUCGGAAUUACUGGGCGUAAAGCGUACGUAGGCGGCUUGUUAAGCAAGAUGUGAAAUCCCCGGGCUCAACCUGGGAAUGGCAUUUUGAACUGGCAGGCUCGAGUUCUGAAGAGGGUGGUAGAAUUUCCAGUGUAGCGGUGAAAUGCGUAGAUAUUGGAAGGAAUACCGGUGGCGAAGGCGGUUCUCUGGUUGACUUCUGACGCUGAGGCACGAAAGCUAGGGGAGCAAACAGG
rnacentral:rRNA from 1 species